GAUGAACGCUGGCGGCGUGCCUAAUACAUGCAAGUCGAGCGAACGGACGAGAAGCUUGCUUCUCUGAUGUUAGCGGCGGACGGGUGAGUAACACGUGGAUAACCUACCUAUAAGACUGGGAUAACUUCGGGAAACCGGAGCUAAUACCGGAUGAUAUUUUGAACCGCAUGGUUCAAAAGUGAAAGACGGUCUUGCUGUCACUUAUAGAUGGAUCCGCGCUGCAUUAGCUAGUUGGUAAGGUAACGGCUUACCAAGGCAACGAUGCAUAGCCGACCUGAGAGGGUGAUCGGCCGCACUGGCACUGAGACACGGUCCAGACUCCUACGGGAGGCAGCAGUAGGGAAUCUUCCGCAAUGGGCGAAAGCCUGACGGAGCAACGCCGCGUGAGUGAUGAAGGUCUUCGGAUCGUAAAACUCUGUUAUUAGGGAAGAACAUAUGUGUAAGUAACUGUGCACAUCUUGACGGUACCUAAUCAGAAAGCCACGGCUAACUACGUG
rnacentral:rRNA from 1 species